AAAAUCUACUGAACAAUAGGCGAUAUUAUGUUUCCUUGUGCAUAAGGUACCAGUAGGGGAAAACAAUAUUUGCCUGGUUCUGGAUAUGUCACAGGUAUACUGGAGCAGAACGGCACAAGGAAUAAAGUCAAAACUAUGUUUUGUUAUCAAUGGCAGAAGCAAAAACCAUUGACUGAAUCCCAAGUAUUGUAAUGACUGAGAGAUUAUUUUGGCAGCAUUUGACUCACCUGUUCUUUGCCACUCUUAUAGAUCCUUUCAAGAAGUGCGUUAAGGGAUGGUUCAAAAAAGGAAGUACUGAUUUUAGGAAUUCAUUUCGUAGAGGCUUACAACACGAGUACACGUUUCAUAUUGACCUUGACAAAAUUUGUCAUUUUAGAAUGGGCUUUAGAAAGGGCAAAAGACAAACUCACCUCCUUCGCACAGGUGCCAGCCUCUCCUUUUGGUCCCUGUUGUAAGAGAGAAAAUUGUACACGUUUGAAAACCUAGUUUACAAACAUCAGACAACACAGGUGAAAUUGACACACCAAUAUAUGAAAUACUAGUUAGUUGAGUACCCUGCGUCCUCUUCCAUCAGCCACUUUUUAACAUGAUGUGCGCAGGCUAGUUCAACUUGCAAUAUUUUUUCAUUUGUAUGCUUUUCCUUUCAACUUUACCAAAGUGAUAAAUAAGCAAACUUGGAAUUUGUUUUGUAAACGGCUUUUAGUCGAUCAAAAGAUAUAAAGAGAAUUCUAACAUACCUUUGGACCUUGUGGGCCAACGGUUCCGGGUGGCCCAGUGUGUCCCUGAAAGAUUGAAAUUGAAGUCAGAUGUAAAGAGCUUAAAUUUUGUGAUGAUGAUGUUUGGAAUAUAAAGAUGACCUCUUUAAUGGGGAAUACUUUACACAAACAGAAUAUGUAGUCACGAAAAGAAGUGACAUCAACUAACUAUUGUAACUACCCGUUUUAUAUUACAGCCACAUUAUGAUAUUCAGAAAAAUCAAAACUCAAUGUAGCGUCAAAGUGCUAAUUGUACCAUGUCUUUUUUCACUCCAUAUCUUGUUUAAUUUAUUUUUCCAUUUAAGUUUUAAACAUCCAUGAUUUUGUUUUUGAAUUACCUGUAUUUGGAUUAGUGAGUGAAAUAUUUAUCUCAAAUUGUUUUGUUGAUAUUCCAAUCUUCAGCUAUUCUUUGCUUCUUCGAGUGUUUCGUUGUUUCCAUAUUUGGGAAAAGUACGAAAUCAAAUAAUUCAUUAAGUUAUCGCUACAUGUUAUCGUUAUCAUUGUUGCUGCUGUUAUUCUUGCUGUUGUUGUUGCUGUUGUUGUUGUUGUAGUAGUGAAUCAAGAAUGAAUACUAAAUUUUACCUUUUGUCCCUGUUUACCAUCUUUACCGUCUUUUCCUUUCAGAUGAAGAUGGAGGAUGUUGUCACCUGGAAACGGGCUGUAUAGUGCUUGAGCCUUGAGAAAGAAACGAUUUUGCUUAUAUGCCAUGCUUAUAGCAAUUAAGAUGCAGUGCAUCCCAUUCAAUGAGAAAUAUUAAGAAAAGCUGCAGACAAAUGAGAGACAAAUUCAGAUGUCUUGAAGAUGAGGCAGUAAGCUCAGCAUGGUGUCGCAAUCCUAGAGAAUCCAUACCAAUCUAACCGAAUCCCAGAAAUCUUGAUGAUGAGACAAAAAUCUAUUUGUAUCCAAUAACUUCCAGACGGCAGCUUUGGGAAUUUUGUGAACAAGUCUGAGCAGCUCAUUGCUGGGUUUCCUGGGGAACUAUGAUGAAAAAGAGGUAAGUUAUUUCUGCCAUUGAGUGCAAGUUAUGAUAUUUUCAUGUUUAAAGCAAAAUUUAGAAUCUAAAAUAUUUGUGUGAUAUUUUGUAAUAAAGUGUAAUUAAUAUUGCUUUAAGAUAAGGAAUUGGUGGUAUUCAGGACAGCAAGAGUAGAUCAAAAAGUUUAGCCCAUAUACUUAAAGAUUUUCUUCAAAUGACUCUUAAGGGUAUGAUAAGAACUAUAACGGAUAUCAGUCCUGUGUUUACCGUGGAUUUCAGAAAAUACGCUUUCCUUAACCUGAAAACAGACUU